AACGAACGCUGGCGGCAGGCUUAACACAUGCAAGUCGAACGCCCCGCAAGGGGAGUGGCAGACGGGUGAGUAACGCGUGGGAAUCUACCUGGAACUACGGAACAACUGAGGGAAACUUCAGCUAAUACCGUAUACGCCCUACGGGGGAAAGAUUUAUCGGUUUCAGAUGAGCCCGCGUAAGAUUAGCUAGUUGGUGGGGUAAUGGCCUACCAAGGCGACGAUCUUUAGCUGGUCUGAGAGGAUGAUCAGCCACACUGGGACUGAGACACGGCCCAGACUCCUACGGGAGGCAGCAGUGGGGAAUAUUAGACAAUGGGCGCAAGCCUGAUCCAGCCAUGCCGCGUGAGUGAUGAAGGCCUUAGGGUUGUAAAGCUCUUUCAGUGGGGAAGAUAAUGACGGUACCCACAGAAGAAGCCCCGGCUAACUUCGUGCCAGCCGCCGCUGUAAGAC
rnacentral:rRNA from 1 species